UACGUAGGGGGCGAGCGUUGUCCGGAGUUACUGGGCGUAAAGCGCACGCAGGCGGUCUGCUAAGUUUGGAGUGACAGUUGGUGGCUUAACUGCCAAAGUGCUUCGAAAACUGACAGACUUGAGGGCUUCAGAGGGACACGGAAUUCCGGGUGGAGUGGUGAAAUGCGUAGAGAUCCGGAGGAACACCAACGGCGAAAGCACUCUGCUGGGCCGACACUGACACUGAGAGACGAAAGCUAGGGGAGCGAAUGGG
rnacentral:rRNA from 1 species